GAAUAAAAAAACCUAGCUAGCCCUCAGUUGCUCUGUGGAGAUCGCAUUCGCUAUCAUCUCCUGCGUCGGUCCAUCAUCUUCAUCCAUCUGUGGCGUCGUCUGCAGCGGACGCUUGGUGGUCGGCCGUCCGUCGCCUCCUUAUCUCUACGUUGGUUUGUUCUGCGUUAUUCUGUUCGGAGGUCUUCUGUGCUAUUUUCCCAUCUAAUCCGUCACCGUCCCUCCCGGUGCUUUGCCUUGCCUAACGUCGCUGCACCGCACCGCACCGAGCCUCGCCGCGCCUGACCUCUCGUCUGGCCUCUCGUCUCCGUGCUGCGCCUCUCCUCGAUCUCCCUGUACUCGAUCUGUCACAAAACAGAGGCAUACAGGACUCUCAGAGAUCAUGGUUCCUAUCCUGCUGCUCAGGUCGUGAGAGAUUUUCAAGGCAAAUUUGCGUUUAUUCCAUUUGAUAGUGGUUCUAAAACCGUGUUUAUUGUUGCAAUGAGAAAGAGGUUGUAACUAAGAGCUAUGGGACAUCUUAUGCACCAUUUUUAAAGGAUUUUUCUUUACAACAUCCGGAGGUUUGAGCAAUUUUGAGCAUCCACUUAAUGAGCUGAAGUCUAUCCCAAGAGUUGACAGUUCUGGUCAGGUGUGUGCUGCAACUUUUAAAAUGGAUGAGGCUAAGAAGGAAUCAACUGGCAUGUCAAGGGUUGGAAGUGCUGCGAACUGGUCGAAUAAUAUCUAAAUAUGAAUUCUGUUUGAACUAAGGCUUUUAUUAUAUGCUAGACUCGGUUGAAUUUUCAUGUUCUAGUACUAAAAAAUAUGUUGAUGUCAAAGCUAGAUCAUAUAAUUGCCAAGCCUAUACCAUACUUGGUUAGAGAUGGCCUUGGAGCUGCAUUCCCUUUCUUUUAUAUUGAGCCAAAUGUAAUAUUAUAUUAUCAUAAUGAAUAAUUAAAGGAUGGAACUGAAUUUUAUAUAUAUU